UACGGGGGAUGCAAGCGUUAUCCGGAAUGAUUGGGCGUAAAGCGUCUGUAGGUGGGUUCACUAAGUCUGUGGGUUAAAGGGUAGAGCUCAACUCUGCUAUAGCAACAGAAACUAGGAAUCUUGGGCAUGGUAGGGGUAGAGGGAAUUUUGAGAGUAGCGGUGAAAUGCGUAGAUACUCGAAGGAACACCGACGGCGAAAGCACUCUACUGGGCCAAUGCUGACACUCAGAGACGAAAGCGUGGGUAGCGAAUAGG
rnacentral:rRNA from 1 species